rnacentral:rRNA from 1 species
CCUACGGGUGGCAGCAGUGGGGAAUAUUGGACAAUGGGCGAAAGCCUGAUCCAGCCAUGCCGCGUGUGUGAAGAAGGCCUUCGGGUUGUAAAGCACUUUCAGUGGGGAAGAAAGCCUUGGGGCUAAUACCCUCGAGGAAGGACAUCACCCACAGAAGAAGCACCGGCUAACUCCGUGCCAGCAGCCGCGGUAAUACGGAGGGUGCGAGCGUUAAUCGGAAUUACUGGGCGUAAAGCGCGCGUAGGCGGUCUGAUAAGCCGGUUGUGAAAGCCCCGGGCUCAACCUGGGAACGGCAUCCGGAACUGUCAGGCUAGAGUGCAGGAGAGGAAGGUAGAAUUCCCGGUGUAGCGGUGAACUGCGUAGAGAUCGGGAGGAAUACCAGUGGCGAAGGCGGCCUUCUGGACUGACACUGACGCUGAGGUGCGAAAGCGUGGGUAGCAAACAGGAUUAGAUACCCUUGUAGUC